rnacentral:misc_RNA from 1 species
GUAUUAGAUGCGUUUUAUCGCAAGUAGACAUUCUUAACUGUAUGCGUGUGUAUAUAAAGACGCGGCAGCGAUACGCGAUCAAAGCCUUGCGGCCCCGAUCAAGCGCCUCACUAGCCACAGAAGGUGCACAGUGGUGUGUAUGGAUGAGCAGGGCGUGCACAUGCCUCGAAAGAGACCAGCAUCAACCCUAUAUGCAUCGGUAAUGAUCCUUCCGCAGGUUCACCUACGGAAA